CGAACGGGCUUCUUCGGAAGUCAGUGGCAGACGGGUGAGUAACACGUGGGAACGUGCCUUCGGUUCGGAAUAACUCAGGGAAACUUGAGCUAAUACCGGAUACGCCCUUUUGGGGAAAGGUUGACUGCCGAAGGAUCGGCCCGCGUCUGAUUAGCUUGUUGGUGGGGUAACGGCCUACCAAGGCGACGAUCAGUAGCUGGUCUGAGAGGAUGAUCAGCCACACUGGGACUGAGACACGGCCCAG
rnacentral:rRNA from 1 species